CCACAAAACCACGACUUCUACAUGUGUUCACACACAGGAAUGAUUGGAACAACGCGCCCUACUCACUACCAUAUUUUGCUAGAUGAGAUUGGCUUCUCCCCUGAUGAUCUCCAGGAGCUUGUGCAUUCAUUGUCCUAUGUGUGUCAGAGGAGCACAACUGCGAUAUCAAUCGAUAAGUACCGUGUUUCUGUUAUGUGGUAAUUGCCUAUUUUAUGUUAUGAGGGGUUU